rnacentral:rRNA from 1 species
CCUACGGGGGGCAGCAGUGAGGAAUAUUGGUCAAUGGACGAGAGUCUGAACCAGCCAAGUAGCGUGAAGGAUGACUGCCCUUUGGGUUGUAAACUUCUUUUAUAAAGGAAUAAAACGAGGCACGUGUGCCUUUUUUGCAUGUACUUUAUGAAUAAGGAUCGGCUAACUCCGUGCCAGCAGCCGCGGUAAUACGGAGGAUCCGAGCGUUAUCCGGAUUUAUUGGGUUUAAAGGGAGCGUAGAUGGGUUGUUAAGUCAGUUGUGAAAGUUUGCGGCUCAACCGUAAAAUUGCAAUUGAUACUGGCAGUCUUGAGUACAGUUGAGGUAGGCGGAAUUCGUGGUGUAGCGGUGAAAUGCUUAGAUAUCACGAAGAACCCCGAUUGCGAAGGCAGCUUACUAAACUGUGACUGACAUUGAUGCUCGAAAGUGUGGGUAUCAAACAGGAUUAGAUACCCGAGUAGUC